UACGAGGGGUGCAAGCGUUGUUCGGAAUUACUGGGCGUAAAGCGCGUGUAGGUGGCUAUUUAUGUCAGGUGUGAAAGCCCUCGGCCUAACCGAGGAAGUGCGCCUGAAACUGAUUGGCUUGAGUACGAGAGAGGAGGACGGAAUUCCCAGUGUAGAGGUGAAAUUCGUAGAUAUUGGGAGGAACACCGGCGGCGAAAGCGGUUCUCUGGAUCGAUACUGACACUAAGACGCGAAAGCGUGGGUAGCAAACAGG
rnacentral:rRNA from 1 species